UGAUCAUUUCCCCAGAUACCAUUACUAUCAUUGCCAUGCUAGUUUAUCGCUUCUAUCGUUUAUGUCUCGUUGCCUACCACAUGUUAAAUACCAUCCUCUCAACAAUGCCAUGAAAACCUUCAACCUGUUCAACCUAGCAAACCACUGAUUGGCUAUGUUACUGCUUGCUUAACCCUGUUGAUAGCGUUGCUAGUUGUAGGUGUAGUUGCUUCCAUGUGAAAGCAUGGGUUCCUUGUCAUAUCACCAUAUUUAAUGUUAUAUAAUUUAAUGCACCUAUAUACUUGGCAAAAGGUGGAAGGCUCGGCAUUUCUAGCCUGGUGUUUUGUUCCACCUUUGCCCCCUUUAGUUACCGGCUACCGGUGUUAUGUUCCAUAAACGAGCGCUCCUAACACGAUCGGGGUCGUUAUGGGGACCCCCUUGAUAAUUCGUUUUAGAUUAAAGCAGGUCUGGCAAGGCCCAAC
rnacentral:lncRNA from 1 species